CUGCAACUAGAUUAUUGCCGUGGAAAUGCUGUACCGAAUAGUGGAGAGCGCCGGAAAAGAGCAUUAGAUUCCCGAGAUGAUGAUAUUGAUGAUCAGGACGUUAUUCCGCCGUACAACCCGCCCGUACGUAAUAUUACUUCUCUCUCAUGGCCAACGCCCAGUGGAUUGACAGAAGAAAACGUCACGGAGAUAUGCAAUAGAAGAAUAAGGUAUUCGAAGAGCGGUGAAAGUUGUGGUGCUGUUGCUGGUGUGGAUUUGGAUGCUCUUGUUGGUCAAUGCAUCUCUGAUAUUCAGGUA